rnacentral:rRNA from 1 species
AGCGAACGCUGGCGGCAGGCUUAACACAUGCAAGUCGAACGGUCAUCUUCGUAUGUCAUUGGCAGACGGGUGAGUAACACGUGGGAACGUACCCUUCGUUUCUGAAUAACUCAGGUAUACUUGAGCUAAUACCGGAUACGCCCUUUUUGGGGAAGGUUUACUGCCGAAGGAUCGGCCGGGGUCUGAUUAGCUUGUUGUUGGGGUAACGUCCUCUCAAGGCGUGGAUCAGUAGCUGUUCUGGGAGGAUGAUCAGCCACACUGGGAAUGAGACACAGCAGAGACGAAUACGGGAGGAAGCGGUGGGGAAUAAUGGAGAAAGGGCGCGAGACUGAUCGAGCCAUGCCGGGUGAGAGAUGAAGGCGUUAGGGAUGUAAAGCUCUUUUGUCUGGGACGAUGAUGACGGUACCGGAAGAAUAAGCCCCGGCUAACUACGUG